GUCCCAGAGGAGAGGCGGUUCCUGCGGCGUCAGGGCGGGACUUCCGGCCCAUCCGCAUUAGACCAUCCUUCCGCGAGCAGAUGCUGGUUGGACCGCGACCACGUGAAGUGGAGCGCUGCGCCGGGGCCGCGCCUCCCGGGCGGGCGGGGAGGGAGAGCGACGUGGCCGGGGGCACCUCUGCGCCGUGUCCGAGCCGUGACGCCCCAGCCCUGGCUCCUUCUCCGGGACGCUCCGUGACACGGUGUCCCCGACCGUGGGACAGGCGUCCUCGCGCCUCGUGUUUGCCGGGUGCCACCGGGACCGCAAGUUCUCCGGGGCCUCCUCACCCGCGCUUCGUGGCCAGGGCCCGCGAAGGCGGUGGCCUGGGCCUUGAGAGCAUUUGACGUCAUUUUGCAGCGAGGUUCGGAGUGCGACACCCAGCCUGAGGUGACCCCGCCCUGGCCUCCCGCCUCUCAGGGCCCCACUCAGCCCCCUGGGUCCCGUGGCGGUGGCAGGUGCGGCAGCACUGAUGAAUCCGGCGCAGGGCUGUGUGACCUUCGAAGAUGUGUUCGUGUACUUCUCCCGGGAGGAGUGGGAGCUCCUUGAGGAGGCUCAGAGACUCCUGUACCGCGAUGUGAUGCUGGAGAACUUUGCACUUGUGUCCUCACUGGGACUUGCGGUUUCCAGGUCCCACAGGGUCACCCAGAUGGAGGCAGAGGGGAGCCCCGGGUGCCUGAGAAGGUAGACACGGCUCCCGGCACCACGGAGAAGGCCUGGAGGGAGCCCGGCCCGAUUGUUGGCACGGAAUGGAGGAUGUGACCACACCUUCUGAGCGGGGUGUUUCUGGGCGACCGUCACAGAUGAGAAGGCCCAGGGCAGAUUCUCAUGCGCGGAAGUCUCACCCCUAGGACAGGGGUGGCCCAGUCUUGAAAGACAUGUUUGCCCCUGCUUGAGCCCCGGGGAACCCCAUCUGGGCAGCGUCCGGGAUCCAACAUGCGAGGCCUGUCCAAGAGACUUGUGUGGUUCUACCCCGCCAGAUGCAGAAGCGCACGGCCCGCUACGUCUCAGCUGCCCUUGGCGGCGGGAACGUCGCUCCGGGAUCAGCUGGCUCGCAGCCAGACCCCCGGCUGGGGCACAGCUGGGAACAGCGAGGACCAUUAGAAAUACAGGAAGAGUGCGUGGGCCCGGGACGGCUUCCCGCCCGGAUCGUCUCCUCAGGAAGGUGAGCUCUGAGCACAGUGGGCGGGGACAGAGGUAGCCUGCCCUCAGGAAGUUUCCUCCAAGUCUCCGGGAGGUGCUUUUCAUGAACGGGACUCACGCGGACCGGAUCCGGCGUCCCCGACGUAGGCAGGGAGGGCUCGCUGCAGGUGGGAGAAACGCGGGAAAGGCUUUAACAAGCGUGGGCGUGUUGUCGGACAUCAGGUCACGCUGAAGGGACUGCCGUGAACGUGAGAACGCCUUUCUCUCUCUUCAAAAAAUUCUUUUAAGUAUUUUUUUAGGGGGGGAGAUACUAGGCUUAUUUAUUUAUAUUUGGAGGAGGUGCUGGGGAGUGAACCCAGUGCACGCUGAGCAUGCGCUCUGCCACUUCAGCUAUAACCUCCCCGUAUUUAUUUAUUUUUAAUGGAGGGACUGGGGUUUGAACCCAGGACCACAUGCAUGCUAAACUAAGCAUGUGCUCUACCGCUGAGUUAUACUCUCCCUCCUGAGAAAGCCUUUUUUCAAGAGAGCAGAUCUCAGUCAACACGUGAGGACUGAUGCUCAGCAAAGCCACGUGAGUUCUUCUGCUGUGGCAAGGCCUUUAGCUGUGGGUCAGGCCUCAUGCGGCAGCAGCAGAUUAACACUGGGGAGAAGGCUCUUGAGUGCAAAGAAUGUGGGAAAGUCUCGUGUCAGCUCUGCUUUUGUCCAAUAUUUCCCACUCCAGAGGCACUCACUUCAAGGGUAAGUGUUUUUUGACAGCUGUAUAUUUACUCAUCACGUGAGGGUUCUCACAGGAGAGAAUCCCUGAGGGCAGUGACUGUGGAAAGGCUUUCAUUCACCCCAUUUCUGUGUGGCCUAAGAGGAGCCACUGGAGAAAAAGCCUUUGAAUUUUAGAAUGUCGGAGGGCCUUUUGUGACAGUUCCUUGGUAACUCAACACGGAAAGCAUCGCUCUAGGAAGAAACCUCGUGAAUACAGUGACUGUGGACAGUCCUUCAGCCUCCAUUCACCCCUCACCCAGCCUUGAAGCAUUCAUACUGGGGAGAAACCCGACGAGUGUACGAGAUGGGGAAAGCCUUUUACAAGUGGACUAACCUCAGUCAACAGCAGAGAACUCAUACUGGGGAGAGACCUUUUGAAUGUAACUCCUAAGGAAAAUCUCCUGAGCAGCAGAAACAUCGUAUUCGGCAUCUGGGAAGUUAUACCAAAGAGAAACCCUGUGAGUGUCACUGCUGUAAGAAAAUCUUUUGAGACAAAUCACUUGUCAGCUCAAGAGUCAUAUUGGAAGUGGAUGUAUCCUAGGACUUGGCAUCCUAGGAGAACUGAUAAAGGAAAGAGAACCAGGGGCUAUUGCGCAGUUUCAAAAAUCUUUAGCUACAGCUCUGCCCCUUAGUAUACACUGAAAAAGCAGCCGCGGGGAUUUUAAAAAGCAAAAUCAAAGGAGCAAGAAGAAAAGUGGAUGUAACAGGAAAGGAAGUGGAUUUGUGGCUUCUUUCGGGGUUUCCCAGACACAUUCAAGACGAUUUAUUGGUGGUUUUUUGUUGAUGUUGUUGGCUGGCAGGGGAGGAGUGACGUUUGAGAGGUAAACACCUGAAUUAAUAUAUCCUCUCCCCCGGGCCGUGUCAGGAAAGCUGGACACUUCAGAGCAGCUCUGCAAAUAUUUUUUGAAACCCUUCUUGGUUAUGAAAUAUCUCAACCAUUCAUUGAUUUAUGAAGCACUUAAAAGAAAUGAGGAUACUAAAAAUAUUGUCUAAAAUAUAUCUAAGGAGAUAAGGGCACCCUUAUGAAUGGGUACAUUUUAUUGUACUGCUUAAACCAUUCAAGGCUUCAUUUUUAUUCAUUCAUUCUUCAUCAUUAAGGUGUAACUGACAUAACUGUAAGUUUCAGGUGCACAACAUAUUUAAUUAAUACAUUUAUAUUACAGGAUGGUUGCCAUUGUAGCAUGAACCUUUGUUGUGCUGCAGAAUUAUCCCUUCUAGUGGUGGGAACAGUUAAGAUCUAGUCUGUCGGCAGGUUUAAAGUUUGCAAUGCAGUAUCAUUGUUUGUAAUCCCUGUACUUUGUAUUAGAACUCCGGGAAUUAUUUACCUACUAGUUGUAAGUACGUACCCUUAAACCACAUCUCUCCCAUCCCCUCACUCCACCACCAGCCUUUGGUAACCAUCAUUCCAUUCCAUUUUCUCCAGUUCAGUUUUUUGUUUUGUUUUGUGUGAGAUUCCACAUAUAAGGGAUAUUAUACAGUGUUUGUCAUUCUCUGUCUGACUUACCUCACUUAGCAUAAUGUCCUCUAAGUCCGUCCAUGUUGUCGUAAAUGUCUGGGUUUCCUUUUUCCCUAAGGCUGAGUAGUAUUCCAUUGUAUGCAUAUAUAUAUUUUUUUCUGUGUUCAUCCAUUAAUGGACACUUAGAUUGUUUCCGUACCUUGACUGUUGUGAACUACAAUAAACACGGAAGUGCACAUA